UGUAUUUAUAGGCAGGGGAGACCGAGUUUCAGCCGGGCAACGUGCGCACGUCUGCCGGUCGUGGACGUUGGGUUCUUUUCUUUUCUUUUUCUCUGUUAAUCGAGCGAAGUCGGCAGCAAGCGAUCGUGGGGAGCAACGGGCCUUGACCAGUCUAAUCGCUAGGAGGAUUAGUUAAUGCAUGCAGAAGAUGACAACGUUCUGAUUUUUGUCCAUGUGCUAUUCUACGUGGGCCUAGAAGGCAGAUGUAUUUGUUUAAUCAGCUGAUUAGUUAGUUGGGCUAAUGCAGCCGGCCAGCCAGGUCUGCAGCGUCAUGGGCGUCUUGUUGAUGGGCAUGGGCUAAUUAGCCUUAAUUGUUAAUCUCAUACUAGUCCACUUUUGCAUGCAUGCUAAUUAAGAUGGGCUGGACGUUUUUGGGCUGAUUAAUAUCAAUGGUUAGCCUCAUUAACCCACAUGUAC
rnacentral:lncRNA from 1 species